GACGAACGCUGGCGGCGUGCCUAAUACAUGCAAGUAGAACGCUGAAGGAGGAGCUUGCUCUUCUGGAUGAGUUGCGAACGGGUGAGUAACGCGUAGGUAACCUGCCUGGUAGCGGGGGAUAACUAUUGGAAACGAUAGCUAAUACCGCAUAAUAGUAGAUGUUGCAUGACAUUUGCUUAAAAGGUGCAAUUGCAUCACUACCAGAUGGACCUGCGUUGUAUUAGCUAGUUGGUGAGGUAACGGCUCACCAAGGCAACGAUACAUAGCCGACCUGAGAGGGUGAUCGGCCACACUGGGACUGAGACACGGCCCAGACUUCUACGGGAGGCAGCGGUUGGGAAUCUUCGGCAAUGGACGGAAGUCUGACCGAGCAACGCCGCGUGAGUGAAGAAGGUUCUCGGAUCGUAAAGCUCUGUUGUAAGAGAAGAACGAGUGUGAGAGUGGAAAGUUCACACUGUGACGUAUCUACCAGAA
rnacentral:rRNA from 1 species